rnacentral:rRNA from 1 species
CAAUAGCGUAUAUUUAAGUUGUUGCAGUUAAAAAGCUCGUAGUUGGAUUUCGGGUGGGACGCAGCGGUCUCGCAUUGCGUUUGUACUGCUGCAGCCCUCCUUCUUGCCGGGGGCGGCCUCUCGGACUUCACUGUCUGGGGGGCAGAAUCGGCGAUGUUACUUUGAGUAAAUUAGAGUGUUCAAAGCAAGCUUACGCUCUGAAUAUAAUAGCAUGGGAUAACACGACAGGACUCUGGCCUAUCGUGUUGGUCUAUAGGACCAGAGUAAUGAUUAAGAGGGACAGUCGGGGGCAUUCGUAUUCCGUUGUCAGAGGUGAAAUUCUUGGAUUUACGGAAGACGAACAUCUGCGAAAGCAUUUGCCAAGGAUGUUUUCAUUGA